GGGCUGGGGCUCAGUGGUAGAGCGCUUGCCUAGCAUGUGUGAGGUACUGGGUUCGAUUCUCAGCACCACA
rnacentral:tRNA from 1 species